GGCGCCUUUGUUCCAAGUCCUGUAUUGUUGCCUAAAAGUAGAAAAAUAUAUUUAUAUGUGCCAGUUGAUCUAUGCAUCACCAGACUUCUUGAACUAAUGAAAAGGAGAUUGAGAAGCGUUUCAUAAUAGGAUGACAGCAGGAUACAAGCCUCUCAGAAAGUUCUUAGAGAAAUAUUCCAACAUAAAAAGAUAAGAAGAAUAUACUGCAAUCAAGAUGAAUCUGCAAAGUGAAAUAGAUCUGAAAAGGAAGCAGUCAGCUUUUUUUGCUUUCUGAAGAAAGUUUGAGAGGCACUAUGGAUUCCUUUAAACAUCUAAUAGGGAGCAUGGAUCUAUUUGAGUGUUACUGUGAAACACAGUCUUGCUGUUGUAUACCUUUGAGCUGAUUUUAGCUUAAGGAGGAACUGAGGCAAAAGUAGAAAAAGAAAAGAUAAUAAUUGACACAGGCCACACAUUUAUUGAUAGUGACCUUGAAGACAUCUUAAAUAAGAAGAACAAGGAUUUUAAAAGUCUGACAGCUCACACUGCUGAAAUUACUACAACAAGUCUGUCUGCUGAAAAGAAGCCAUGAGAUAAAGGAAAGCAUAAAAUCCAAGGUAGGUGACUUAUCCCUUUCUUCUUGACAUCCUGUGGACAACCUCUCAUAAUGGAGCAUAAAAGGUGAUUGCUUUCCUUAUGCUCGGCUAUAGAAGCAACCUCAAGUUAGAGCAAUGUUAGAACAACAUCUACUACAAUGAUUACCGUUGUCCACUGAUGAAAUUGUAGAAGUGUUGAUUAGAGGGAAGAAGAUCCUCUUCAGGUAUGCUCCAAGUCUUGUUAACUCAUCCACCAAGAUCAGCUAGCAAUAGUUUGGAAGGCCCAAGUGAAGUCACGUACUUGUCCCAACCAUAUACUUGUUCUCAUUUGUCAUGACGUUCUCUUGAUCUCACACAACUGCACCAAGAGUAUCUGGGCUUAAGUGUUGUAUCUAGCUUGUUGCAUUUUGAAAGUAUUCUGGCCUAUUAAGGGAAAUUGCUCUAGAUUUAAUUUUGAUUUCAGUUCUAUGUACAGCAAAACCCCAAAGGUGUAAAAGCCUUUUGAUUUUUUAUCUUUUCCCUUGAGAAAAGUGGCUCUUCUUUAGUUCUGGGACACAUUGAUGUCAAAGUUCUAGUGAAGCCAGUAUUUUUGAUGACAGAAUGCCACUUUUUGUCAUACACAUGGGCAUUUCCACCAAGUAAACAAAAAUGUAAUUUUUACAUUAUGAUUUGAAUCACUAUGAUGCUUACUAGUCUAUGAAAGCUAUGCCUUAAAGAGAUGUUAAACAAGAGAUGUUACAUUUGUUGAAAACAUUCUAACUGUUAUAAAGUUGAUUUCAAUU